GUCCUUCCUCUUUAUUAUUUUCAUAUUCACAGUUUUGAUUUUUAUGAUAUGUAUGAGUUCCCUGCCUGUAGGCUUCUGCAUGUAUUAUGUACUCAAGGUUCUGCGUGCUUUCAUUUUUUCCAGAUCUGUCUGAAAACCAGGCGUGUGCUGACAUGUGUCUAUCCUAGAGCCUGCAGUCUGCACCCAUGCAUGGAGCAGAAGCCGCAGCCACGAGAAAGCUGCAUGCCUGCAUGGGAGACAAAGCUGUUGAGUUUCCCUUCAAAUCUUUGGUCAAAAAAAAAAGAAAGAAAAAACAUCAGUGAAAACUGUCUUUUCCCCAUGAGGCACGGGGGAUGGGAAUUGGGCCAAGAACGCAUCCACAUGGAGGACAACUCGAACAGCUUGCCUUGAUGACUAAUGAAGAAGUCUUCAAGGACUAUUACCUACCCCAAUUAAAAUAUAAUGCAAUAUGUUGUUUUCCAACCACAGCAAAGAUCUCUCCUCCUUAAAAGUUCCAGGUCGGCUAAAUAUGAUUGUUAGAGCUGAGAUUGCUGCCUCUCAACCUUGUCUCCAAGCACAGAUUCUCAUAUAGUUUUAUGGAUGGACGGAUGAAGGUCAAGUUCUGCAGCUCAAUUUUAAAACUGCUGUGAAGUCUAAAUUAUUCAUUGUGAAGGACAGGAGUGAUCAAUAAACCGGAAUAGUAAAAACAAAAAAAAAAUGUUCUGUGCUGAUUCAAGAAUUAGUAGUGAGUUGUCUUCUUGAUUUGUUACAUUUUUCCCUGAAUGCAGAAAAGAAGAGGUUGUCGUGUUUAUGCAUUUCAGAAAGAAAAA